rnacentral:rRNA from 1 species
AGCGAACGCUGGCGGCAGGCCUAACACAUGCAAGUCGAACGAAGUCUUCGGACUUAGUGGCGGACGGGUGAGUAACACGUGGGAACGUGCCUUUAGGUUCGGAAUAGCUCCUGGAAACGGGUGGUAAUGCCGAAUGUGCCCUUCGGGGGAAAGAUUUAUCGCCUUUAGAGCGGCCCGCGUCUGACUAGCUAGUUGGUAAGGUAAUGGCUCACCAAGGCGACGAUCAGUAGCUGGUCUGAGAGGAUGACCAGCCACAUUGGGACUGAGACACGGCCCAAACUCCUACGGGAGGCAGCAGUGGGGAAUCUUGCGCAAUGGGCGAAAGCCUGACGCAGCCAUGCCGCGUGGAUGAUGAAGGUCUUAGGAUUGUAAAAUCCUUUCACCGGUGAAGAUAAUGACUGUAGCCGGAGAAGAAGCCCCGGCUAACUUCGUGCCAGCCGCCGCCGUAAGAC